GCGGUAACAGGUGUAGCAAUACAUGCUGACGAGCGGCGGACGGGUGAGUAACGCUUGGGAAUCUGCCUAUUAGUGGGGGACAACCCGGGGAAACUCGGGCUAAUACCGCAUACGCACUACGGUGGAAAGCGGGGGAUCGCAAGACCUCGCGCUAAUAGAUGAGCCCAAGCCGGAUUAGCUAGUUGGUAGGGUAACGGCCUACCAAGGCUACGAUCCGUAACUGGUCUGAGAGGACGACCAGUCACACCGGAACUGAGACACGGUCCGGACUCCUACGGGAGGCAGCAGUGGGGAAUAUUGGACAAUGGGGGAAACCCUGAUCCAGCGACGCCGCGUGGGUGAAGAAGGCCUGCGGGUUGUAAAGCCCUUUCGGUGGGGAAGAAAAGCCUCGUUCUAAUAAAACGGGGUCUUGACGUAACCCAUAGAAGAAGCACCGGCUAACUCUGUGCCAGCAGCCGCGGUAAUACAGAGGGUGCGAGCGUUAAUCGGAAUUACUGGGCGUAAAGCGCGCGUAGGCGGCUUUGCAAGUCGGGUGUGAAAUCCCCAGGCUUAACCUGGGAACUGCAUUCGAGACUGCAUUGCUAGAGUAUGGGAGAGGGAAGUGGAAUUUCAGGUGUAGCGGUGAAAUGCGUAGAUAUCUGAAGGAACAUCAGUGGCGAAAGCGACUUCCUGGACCAAUACUGACGCUCAUGUGCGAAAGCGUGGGGAGCAAACAGGAUUA
rnacentral:rRNA from 1 species